rnacentral:rRNA from 1 species
AUUGAACGCUGGCGGCAGGCCUAACACAUGCAAGUCGAACGAGUGGCGGACGGGUGAGUAAUGUAUGGGAAACUGCCUGAUGGAGGGGGAUAACUACUGGAAACGGUAGCUAAUACCGCAUACUAUCGGAUGUGCCCAUAUGGGAUUAGCUAGUAGGUGGGGUAAAGGCUCACCUAGGCGACGAUCCCUAGCUGGUCUGAGAGGAUGACCAGCCACACUGGGACUGAGACACGGCCCAGACUCCGACGGGAGGCAGCAGUGGGGAAUAUUGCACAAUGGGCGCAAGCCUGAUGCAGCCAUGCCGCGUGUAUGAAGAAGGCCUUAGGGUUGUAAAGUACUUUCAGCGGGGAGGCGUUACCCGCAGAAGAAGCACCGGCUAACUCCGUGCCAGCAGCCGCGGUAAUAC